rnacentral:rRNA from 1 species
UACGUAGGGGGCAAGCGUUGUCCGGAAUCAUUGGGCGUAAAGAGCGUGUAGGCGGCCCGGUAAGUCCGCUGUGAAAAGUCCAGGGCUCAACCCUGGGAUGCCGGUGGAUACUGUCGGGCUCGAGUCCGGAAGAGGAGUGUGGAAUUCCUGGUGUAGCGGUGAAAUGCGCAGAUAUCAGGAGGAACACCAAUGGCGAAGGCAGCACUCUGGGACGUGACUGACGCUGAGACGCGAAAGCGUGGGAGCAAACAGG